rnacentral:lncRNA from 1 species
GAAAAACCUUUAACCUGCCCACGAUCUUGCAGGACCUGAGUAUGCAAGGGACAAAGUCUCUGUAAAUAAAGAUGGGGCACUGAGAGAGCCAGUCCAGGAAGAUGGGGUGGUUGGGGGGCCAAGAUGCUCAAAGAUGAGCCAGAGGCUUAGGCCUGAGGGGGGCCUGAGAAAGCAGGAACUCUCUUCAACAAGGAAGGAUCUAGAAACUUGAAAGAGUUGAGAAGGGGUAGGGAAAUGGGAUCAUGGGAAUCACUGAGAGCAUGGCUCAGGGAGAGCCUCUAGGAAUAGGGUAAUGUGUUCGUGGGCAUGGCCUGCCUCUUGCCCUCAUAGUUCAUAGCUGAGUUCAGUUCCUCUGGGGCUCAAAAUUCCCUUUCCCAGCAAGAGUGUGCACUGAGACUGACUUUUCUGCUCUUCCCUCAUUGGAACAAACCCUUCCUCGGAACCACAGAGUCUAGACCCGAGGAGGAGCCAGCCACACAAGUGAGCACCUUCCUGUGUCCCAGGCACCCAGCUCUGCAGUUCCAUCCUCAGGCUGCAGGCCAGCCCAUCCUGAAGGCUACCAAGAGACAGUUACAUCCCCACACCUACCAGCAGCCAAGACACUGGGAAGGAAUCACAUUAUUAUCACCAUCAGGGGCCCAGGCUUGAGUCUCUCUCUAAACAGGACCGAAGUUGGCAGAAGUCAAAGUGUUCCAUUAUUGUGAUCAUCAAAGCCUCAGAGUUCUCCCAGGAGACCCUAUGAAUCAAGACAGGGGAGAGGCACUGGAGUGCACUAGCUAGCACACAGGGAUGUUCGAUGCCCCUUAGGUAGAGCCCCUCCUCCGGGCAGGCACCUGUGUCUCUCAUACAAGCCCUGCUGGCCCUGCCAGCCAGGUGGGGAGUGCCUGAGGAUUUCAUUAUAAGCUCAGAUUAAUAUCAGGUCCAAGGGGGUUGUGCAGAAGCUACGAGGUCUCCUUUAAUAAGGAAUCCCAUUUCCUUUUGCGUUUGAUAAUGCGAUUGAUAUAUGUAUCAACCAGAUGUGUUACUGAAAAAUGGAACAAAAUGGAAGACAAAAAUGGCAAGUCAUUAACGUAGGCAGCAAGCCUUCCCAGCAGAUGUUAGGGACGGUGCUGGGGCAGGGUGCUGAGGUCCUCCUGCCCCACCCACCGCACCCUCACCAUACCCAGCUGCGCAGCUGCUAUAGCCGACCCCAUCUGCUCCCACCCCGGUGCAGCUCUGCCCCUCCGUGUUGAGGAAGCAUGGAGCCUCCCUCCUGCUGUUCAAUAACUGAUGACCAUUUUUCUCCAAUUAAACUGAAAUUGAAGGAUCCUCAGACUUAGCAGCCCAAGUAAAAUAAUUAGUGCUUAAAAUGUUAAUUGUGCAGAUGUGCAUUUGCAAGCAGGCAGGCAGGUAGGUAAUCCUCCCCGCCCUGCCCCCUGCCUAGCAACCUGGUCUUCCCCAGAGAUCCUAGUGUGGGCUGUCCAGAACUCAUUCUGACAGUGUGACUUGGGGGUUCUGUUGAGAGACCUAUCGUGACCCUUUCUUGUCCCCCAACUCCCAUUGGACCCUCCUUGUGGCCAUUCCACUCUUCCUUCCCUGGACGCCUACAGACAGUGGUGGCUAACGGCUAAACCCAAGACACCAAGUCAUACGUGGCCUAGACCUCAGCUCAGCAGCUCACCAAGCUAGCAGUGAGAACAACAGUAAGGCACAGAGCACCCUACGAAUGGGGAUUGUAAAGCCAAGAGCCAUCCACAAAGCUAGUGAACACCAUGUCUUUCCCUACCUUUGUGUCCCAAAAGAGCAACUUCAGAACUGGUGUUCCCUUCCACCAAGGCCGAGGAUGGUGAGUGGAGGCAGGAACACAGUGCUUUACUGUGGGCAGUGAAGGGUUCCCCACUGACCUCUCUGAGCCUGCUCACCCUGUCUCCUCCUUGCUCACAGCUUGAAUGGGGAACUGCAGAAGCCACCUGAGCCCCAGGAGGAAGGGAUGUGGGGGCCAUCGAUGCCUGCCCACUGCUAGCUGGGUGAAAAAGAACUCACCUCCACGGGGACUUGGCAUGUGUGUUGCAUUGCCUACAUGGAUCCCCAGCUCCUAUCUUCUGCAGAGACAACAGGCCUAAGAGGGUUAGCGGGUUUUUUUGUUUUUGUUUUUUUAAUGCUGUGCAUUCUAAGGAAAUCCACUUAGGUAUUCUGUGUUCUCUGAUCCACCACAUAAUAAGAUUCCUUUAUCUCUUGUUGUCAUGGGAAGUAUAUAUUAACUGAUUAAUAUUAAUGUGAUGGCUAAUUAAUAUUAAUAUCUGAGGGGAUUCAUACUUCACAAGGCACCGAUGUUGAUGAGUGCGGCUGAGCCCAGACAGCUGUCGAACUGGAUGCUUCCCCAGGGAGAGAGAGGACAGAAGCCAGGAAUGACCCUUUCCUUCGCUGUUGUUCGUUAUGGACACCCUGUCAUUAGCUGCGUCUGUCAGGCUCGGUAAGGAAGUGUGUUUGGACUCUGAUGGUGGCAAUUAAAAUCCUUGCGGUCCAAGACAGCGCAUUUUAUCAUUUAAAUAGCAUUUUACAUUCUCCUAACAUAUUUCGCCGGCAACAUUGUUAAAUUCGGUGAUAAAAGGUUAUUUUUGCUUUUGAAGUUGAAAUACGUUACCAUUAUCCCUUAUCUGCCUAGAAUUAGGAAGGUUUUCCGAACUUGAUGUUCGGAAGGUUUCAUUAUCAAAAUUUGCCAGACUUUAUAAAGCAAACAGCGCUUCUCCUUCUUCUACCUGUUUUAAUCAAAGAUGGAUGGGAGCGUUGUAUUCUGACAUUGGGGGGGUUGUUUGCAGAGGAAAAAAAAGGACAGCGCCGUCUUUCCCAGGAGCCAGGGUUCUAUAGUGAGGGCUCACGCAGGUCAGUGGGGGAUUCAUGUUCUCCUUCAGCAGGUGCCACUGCUCUAAAGAUUCCAAAUGCUUGCCCUGAGUAUCCUGGAGGCCUGAAAGAUCGGGGCCCCAAGCUUCCUGUAUUCAAUUCUAUGGGACACCACAGCCAGAGGCAGUACCGUCAACCAGUAAAACGAGACUAAUUCCUGCCUGUGGCUGUAUAGUUAGCCCCCCAUGCUGGUGCUUGCUGUAUGGCCUUCUGCUACCAGCCCUUGCUGAAACCCAUUUUAAACCCUUCUAUGGGGGACUUUUGGUAUAGCAUUGCAAAUGUAAAUGAGCGAAAUACCU